AAAAUGACGCACAAAGGACUGCACCCCGCAAACCUGAGUGGAGCAUGAGGGUUCCCUGGUUUUGGGUGGAAUCUGUCAAUAUGCAGACUUGGGCCACCAAGGAAAAGAUUGACUUUUCAGCUAUCAAGUUACUAAUCCAUGUACCUCAACCGUUAAAAAUACUCCGAUUUCUCUAGCAGAAUCAAAGCUUUGAUCUUGCUUGAACCAGGACUGAACCCCAGUUACAGAAGGUGAAUUAAUUUCCUCAGAGUACCAUCUCUAGAGAACUUCACUAGCCUGAGUGACAACCAAACACUCACCACCACCUUAUUACACUUCGAACUGAAGUACACCAGAUGAGCAUAAUCAGUGACUGAGGUCUAGAGACUGGUGUGGUCUGGAUGCAGCUUUGGCAUCAAUGCAUAUUACCCCCAGCACUAAGUCAAUGCAGCUGAACUCUUCUGGAGAAGAAGGGGUAGUUCAGUUUCCGUGGCAUUUCCUUCAA